rnacentral:rRNA from 1 species
GACGAACGCUGGCGGCGUGGAUUAGGCAUGCAAGUCGAACGGUAUCAUCCUUUCGGGGGUGAGAGAGUGGCGAACUGGUGAGUAACACGUAGGUUAUCUACCCUCAAGACGGGGACAACCCAGGGAAACUUGGGCUAAUACCGGAUGUGAGCAACUUUUAGUUGUUUGAAAGGUGGCGUAAGCUAUCGCUUGGGGAUGAGCCUGCGUCCUAUUAGUUAGUUGGUGAGGUAACGGCUCACCUAGGCAAUGAUAGGUAGGCGGCCUUAACGGGUGGUCGCCCACACUGGGGAUUGAGAUACGGCCCAGACUCCUACGGGAGGCAGCAGUCGAGAAUAGUCUACAAUGGUCGGAAGACUGAUAGUGCGGCGCCGCGUGAACGAUGAAUCCCUUCGGGGUGUAAAGUUCUUUUAUAUGUGAGCAGUGCUUCUUAUAUUAACAGUAUGGGGAGAGAGAUAUUAGCAUAUGAAUAAGCAACGGCUAACUCCGUGCCAGCAGCCGCGGUAA